rnacentral:rRNA from 1 species
UACGGAGGGGGCUAGCGUUGUUCGGAAUUACUGGGCGUAAAGCGCACGUAGGCGGCGUCGUAAGUCAGGGGUGAAAUCCCGGAGCUCAACUCCGGAACUGCCCUUGAAACUGCAAUGCUAGAAUCUUGGAGAGGCGAGUGGAAUUCCGAGUGUAGAGGUGAAAUUCGUAGAUAUUCGGAGGAACAUCAGUGGCGAAGGCGACUUCCUGGACCAAUACUGACGCUCAGGUGCGAAAGCGUGGGGAGCAAACAGG